rnacentral:rRNA from 1 species
CUCAGAGCGAACGCUGGCGGCAGGCCUAACACAUGCAAGUCGAACGGACCCUUCGGGGUUAGUGGCGGACGGGUGAGUAACACGUGGGAACGUGCCUUUAGGUUCGGAAUAGCUCCUGGAAACGGGUGGUAAUGCCGAAUGUGCCCUUCGGGGGAAAGAUUUAUCGCCUUUAGAGCGGCCCGCGUCUGAUUAGCUAGUUGGUGAGGUAAUGGCUCACCAAGGCUACGAUCAGUAGCUGGUCUGAGAGGAUGACCAGCCACAUUGGGACUGAGACACGGCCCAAACUCCUACGGGAGGCAGCAGUGGGGAAUCUUGCGCAAUGGGCGAAAGCCUGACGCAGCCAUGCCGCGUGGAUGAUGAAGGUCUUAGGAUUGUAAAAUCCUUUCACCGGUGAAGAUAAUGACUGUAGCCGGAGAAGAAGCCCCGGCUAACUUCGUGCCAGCAGCCGCGGUAAUACGAAGGGGGCUAGCGUUGCUCGGAAUUACUGGGCGUAAAGGGAGCGUAGGCGGACAUUUAAGUCAGGGGUGAAAUCCCAGAGCUCAACUCUGGAACUGCCUUUGAUACUGGGUGUCUUGAGUGUGAUAGAGGUAUGUGGAACUCCGAGUGUAGAGGUGAAAUU